CUGGCAGUGACCUGAGCCACAGUAAUGGCAACAUUGGAUCCUUAAUGUCUAGGCUCCCAAGGAACUUCAGGGAUUGGACUUUUAAGAAAGAGGGCCCAUUGCAAACCAUAUACCGUCUUCUGGUAGGCAGAGGGUGAGGGCAAGAGAUGGCAUCUCUGAGGUGCUCCAACAGUCUCCUUAUCUCCAGUGUCUGAGGAAGAAGCUGAGCAGCCGAGACAGCGAGGAAGAGUUAUCAGUUGCCCGCCUGCAGAUGAAAGAGGAGCGGAGGAGAAAGGAGAUUUUCAGACCGCAGUUAUGUUAAACCCGGUCAUAGAAGAGCCUAACUUGACAGAAGGAGAAAAGAGAGGCGCUUCCUGCCCCCGAAGGCAAAGCCUUCCGUGGCCACAUCACCGAACGGGGCUUUGCCACGUGUGUGUGCAGAGCAAGAGCGGAACACAGCUCCGCAGAGCAGAGAAUCCACGUGUGGAGCAUGAAAUGCCUGGGAUGUCCCAGGUCCCCAGCCAGUUACCAGGACACCCCCCCAUCCGUCCCCCGGCAAGGAGCUGAAGGAUGGAUGAGCAGACGGCAGGUUUCAUCCCAUCAAUUCACCUUGCCCUUGGGACAAUGCCGAGGAGACACAAAUGUACCUUGAGGCUUUCCAUGGGAAGGCUUGUUUCCCAUGACCUCAUUGCAGCAAAAAGAAGACGACUUUCUCAACCACUUCCUUCUGCAGGAGCCACACCCUCGGCAAUACAGAAGGUGCAGC